GUUAAUAUCUGUUACUGGUUUUAAUGUUCUUUGUUUUUUUCCCUCUGCAUGGCAGUGUGAUUUACCCUUGAUCAGGAGGUGCUGGUGCUUUAUUCUAUUGGAGAACUUUGCUGUUGGAAGUUAUCUCUUUCUCUGUGGCUAACGUGUGAAUAUUUCGUACAGGACAAAGGCGUUCACUAAAGGAACCACUAAUAAAAAAGGACCUCCACACUGCAGUAAAAUGGUUGCGCCAACAUAGACGGUUGUUCAGAGGUGCCGUGUCUGAGCCCCAUUUUCUGGAGAUGGAGGAGGAGGACCAAAGCCGAGCUCUCCAGGACAUCAUCGAUGUAGUCGAAACUGAAGAUUUAAUUUUGGCAAAAGAACCCUUUGUAUUUAUUUUUCAGUUUAGGGAUGAUAUGGAACUUUUCACUCA